AUUGAACGCUGGCGGCAUGCCUUACACAUGCAAGUCGAACGGCAGCGCGGACUUCGGUCUGUCGUCGAGUGGCCAACUGGUGAGUGAUACAUCAGAACGUACCCUUUUGUGUUGUAUAACUAGUCGACAUAUUAGCUCAUACCCCAUACGACCUUACGAUGUAAGUGUGAGACCGGGAACUGCCUCAUGCAUCCGCGGCGGCCGAUGUCUGAUUAGCUAGUUGGUGGGGUAAAGGCCCACCAAGGCGACGAUCAGUAGCUGGUCUGAGAGGACGAUCAGCCACACUGGGACUGAGACACGGCCCAGACUCCUACGGGAGGCAGCAGUGGGGAAUUUUGGACAAUGGGGGCAACCCUGAUCCAGCAAUGCCGCGUGUGUGAAGAAGGCCUUCGGGUUGUAAAGCACUUUUGUACGGAAAGAAAUCGCGCUGGUUAAUACCUGGCGUGGAUGACGGUACCGGAAGAAUAAGCACCGGCUAACUACGUG
rnacentral:rRNA from 1 species